rnacentral:rRNA from 1 species
GACAAAUGCUGGCUGCGUGCUUAACACAUGCAAGUCGAACGGUGAAGGAGGGCUUGCCCUCCGGAUCAGUGGCGAACGGGUGAGUAACACGUGGGCAACCUGCCCCUCACUCUGGUAUAACGCCGGGAAACCGGCGCUAAUACCGGAUACGACCAGGCGCGACAUCUCGCCUGGUGGAAAGAAUUUCGGUGAGGGAUGGGCCCGCGGCCUAUCAGCUUGUUGGGGGGGUAACGGCCCACCAAGGCGACGACGGGUAGCCGGCCUGAGAGGGCGAACGGCCACACUGGGACUGAGACACGGCCCAGGCUCCUACGGGAGGCAGCAGUGGGGAAUAUUGCGCAAUGGGCGAAAGCCUGACGCAGCGACGCAGCGUGAGGGACGAAGGCCUUCGGGUUGUAAACCUCUUUCAGCGGGGACGAAGCGAAAGUGACGGUACCCGCAGAAGAAGCACCGGCUAACUACGUGCCAGCAGCCGCGGUAA